GAUGAACGCUGGCGGCGUGCUUAACACAUGCAAGUCGAACGAGGCCGCCCAGCCUGCUGGCUGGCGUAGUGGCGAACGGGUGAGUCACACGUGAGUAACCUGCCUUUCACUCUGGGAUAAGCCUUGGAAACUGGGUCUAAUACCGGAUAGGAGCGUUCACCGCAUGGUGGGUGUUGGCAUGAUUUAUCGGUUUUGGAUGGACUCGCGGCCUAUCAGCUUGUUGUUGGGGUAUUGUCUCAGCAAGGCGACGACGGGUAGCCGGCCUGGGAGGGUGGCCGGCCACGCUGGGACUGAGACACGGCACAGACGCCUACGGGAGGCAGCAGUGGAGAAUAUUGCACAAUAGGAGCAAGCCAGAUGCAGCGACGCCGCGUGAGGUAUGACGGCAUUCGGGUUGUAAACCUCUUUCAGUAGAGAAGAAGCGAUAGUGACGGUACCUGGAGAAGAAGCACCGGCUAACUACGUG
rnacentral:rRNA from 1 species